rnacentral:rRNA from 1 species
UACAGAGGGGGCAAGCGUUAUUCGGAAUUAUUGGGCGUAAAGGGCGCGUAGGCGGCUUGGCAAGUGGAAGGUGAAAUCCCUCGGCUUAACCGAGGAACUGCCCUCCAAACUGCUUCGCUUGAGACCAGGAGAGGUGAGUGGAAUUCCCAGUGUAGCGGUGAAAUGCGUAGAUAUCUGGAGGAACACCGGUGGCGAAGGCGGCAUCCUGGACCGGCAUUGACGCUGAGGCGCGAAAGCUAGGGGAGCAAACGGG